ACCUUAUCAAAAUCAUCUGUUGUGGCAACUUGAAGUUUUGGUGAUGAGGCAAAUUCGGAUGGUUCUGCAUGGCGCAGUUUUGCUUGUGACGGACGUGGUGGUGGUAAAAAAUCAUAAGCAGGGGUACAUGAUGACUUAAUGGCUGCUUCCAACUUUAAUCGAACACAUUCUACAAGUUCUGAUACGGACUCCUCAGUCUGUUUUGUCUCAAAGUAUUCCCAUUUGCUUAUUGUUUUGUAGUUAUGUUUUGCAAAUGAAAGUUUAAGCUCAUCCUUGUCAACUCCUAGUAAUACCAUCACAGAACCAUCAGCCUUUAUUGCUGCAAUAUUGUUAGUUUCCAAUAUACCCAGAAUGGCCGGUGUUGCCAGAACAACAUUGACUGCAUAAUUUGACUGUGUGUGAUCAGUUUCUAAACCUUCUACACUUGAUGAAAUUCCAACCGCAGCGAGUUUCACUUGCAAGAAGUCUGCCCAGUCUUUUCCAUCUGAGAACACACAAAAAAUUCCAACAUCUGAAAACUCCAUGGCUGAAUUUAAAUACCUAUUCAGAGUUAACGUUAUGAAAAUGAAAACACUUUACUAUAUGCUGUGCAUUUAGCGAGACGAGAAACGUACUUUUAAAUGUUGUUUCUAUCUAUUCACAAAACGGAGAAAAUAAAUAUCCAUAUACACGUGUUGGCUUUACCUAUCCACGAAACACGGAAGUAAUACCGUCUUCCCUGUUGAAAUGGAGCAUCAUUCUCCUACUACGUGUUAAAGGGAAAUUUCACUUUGUUUUAUGUCAGAUAUAUAUGUUACUAUGAUACCUGGUCAAAAGGUAACAUUUUUAUAUAUCUGAUAUAUAAAACACCUUUAAAUGGACAUUAAAUCUUCUUACAACGCGAAAUUUAGAUGUAAAAGCAUGUGCGCUCUUAUAAAUAAGGAAAUAUUAACUAAUCUUUUGAUACUAUUUCGUAUCAAAUCACCAGUAUUAAAGUCACCUAACAUUCCUUAAAUUUUAUAACAG
rnacentral:lncRNA from 1 species